rnacentral:misc_RNA from 1 species
GAUGAAGAACGCAGCGAAAUGCGAUAAGUAGUGUGAAUUGCAGAAUUCAGUGAAUCAUCGAAUCUUUGAACGCACAUUGCGCCCCUUGGUAUUCCAUGGGGCAUGCCUGUUCGAGCGUCAUUUGUACCUUCAAGCUCUGCUUGGUGUUGGGUGUUUGUCUCGCCUCUGCGUGUAGACUCGCCUCAAAACAAUUGGCAGCCGGCGUAUUGAUUUCGGAGCGCAGUACAUCUCGCGCUUUGCACUCAUAACGACGACGUCCAAAAGUACCUUUUUACACUCUUGACCUCGGAUCAGGUAGGGAUACCCGCUGAACUUAAGCAUAUCAAUAAGCGGAGGA